rnacentral:rRNA from 1 species
AUACGGAAGGUCCGGGCGUUAUCCGGAUUUAUUGGGUUUAAAGGGAGCGCAGGCGGAGAUGCAAGCGUGACGUCAAAUUUCGGGGCUCAACCCCGUCUCGCGUCGCGAACUGCGUCCCUUGGUUGCGGGAAGGGGAGGCGGAACUCGUGGUGUAGCGGUGAAAUGCAUAGAUAUCACGAAGAACUCCGAUCGCGAAGGCAGCCUUCCGGCCCGUCAACGACGCUCAUGCUCGAAGGUGCGGGUAUCAAACAGGAUUAGAUACCCUGGUAGUCCGCACAGUAAACGAUGGACACCCGCGGUUUGGCCUAUAUGGCUGAGCCGCCAAGCGAAAGCGUUAAGUGUCCCACCUGGGGAGUACGCCGACAACGGUGAAACUCAAAUGAAUUGACGGGG